rnacentral:rRNA from 1 species
AACGUAGGAGACAAACGUUAUCCGGAGUUACUGGGCGUAAAGGGCGUGCAGGCGGUUCGAUAAGUCUGGCGUGAAAUCAUUCGGCUUAACCGGGUGAUGUCGUCGGAGACUGUCGGACUAGAGGAUGAUAGAGGCGUGUGGAAUUCCGGGUGUAGUGGUGAAAUGCGUAGAGAUCCGGAGGAACACCAGUGGCGAAGGCGACACGCUGGGUCAUACCUGACGCUAAAACGCGACAGCAUGGGGAGCGAACGGG